rnacentral:rRNA from 1 species
UGAGAGAUGAGAAAGGACAGUAUCUCAGGAAUAAGUCUCGGCUAACUACGUGCCAGCAGCCGCGGUAAACGUAGGAGGCGAGCGUUAUCCGGAUUCACUGGGCGUAAAGCGCGUGCAGGCGGUUCGGUAAGUUGGGCGUGAAAUCUCCUGGCUUAACUAGGAGAGGUCGUUCAAUACUACCGGGCUUGAGAGUGGUAGAGGAAGAUGGAAUUCCAGGUGUAGUGGUGAAAUGCGUAGAUAUCUGGAGGAACACCAGUGGCGAAAGCGAUCUUCUGGACCAUUUCUGACGCUCAGACGCGAAAGCUAGGGUAGUAAACGGGAUUAAGAGACCCCGGUAAUCCUAGCCGUAAACGAUGUAAACUUGGCGUCGGUGGCUUAAACUCCAUCGGUGCCGUAGCUAACGCGAUAAGUUUACCGCCUGGGGACUACGAUCGCAAGAUUAAAACUCAAAGGAAUUGACGGAG